rnacentral:rRNA from 1 species
UACGAAGGGAGCUAGCGUUGUUCGGAAUUACUGGGCGUAAAGGGCUCGUAGGCGGCCAACUAAGUCAUACGUGAAAUCCCUCGGCUUAACCGGGGAACUGCGUCUGAUACUGGAUGGCUUGAGUUCGGGAGAGGGAUGCGGAAUUCCAGGUGUAGCGGUGAAAUGCGUAGAUAUCGAGAGGAACACCUGCGGCGAAGGCGGGUUGCUGGGCUGACACUGACGCUGAUGCGCGAAAGCUAGGGGAGCGAACGGG